UACGUAGGGUGCAAGCGUUAAUCGGAAUUACUGGGCGUAAAGCGUGCGCAGGCGGUUGUGCAAGACAGGGGUGAAAUCCCCGGGCUUAACCUGGGAACUGCACUUGUGACUGCACAGCUGGAGUACGGCAGAGGGGGAUGGAAUUCCGCGUGUAGCAGUGAAAUGCGUAGAUAUCUGGAGGAAUACCGGUGGCGAAGGCGGCAUCCUGGACCGACAUUGACACUGAGGAGCGAAAGCUAGGGGAGCAAACGGG
rnacentral:rRNA from 1 species